ACCAAGCGACGCCGAUAGGUUGCUUCCGAAUCGCCGCCACCGUCCAAUCCACCACCGCAGCCGUGCGCCGUCACCGGCCUUGUGUAACACCCGUAAAAUUUACUGACUCAAAUUACCCGCUAAAAAUUUGUUUCAAAAUCUCCCAACCCUUGAGCUCCCGAAAAAUCUUUUUCCAUUCCUCGCAAAUUUCGCCACGUGCACAUCAAGUAAAUCGCGCGUGCCCGACCAAUUCCGCAAUUUUCACCGAUUUUUCCCCUCCCCUUUUCCUUUUCCUCUUUCCCUCCCCUUUUUCCCCUUUUCCUUUUCUCCCUUCCUCCCUUCUCCUUCUUCCUUCUUCCUCCUUUCUCCUUCUCUCUUCCCUUCUUGGCG
rnacentral:lncRNA from 1 species